AGACCGUGAUGAGGACAUAACCUUAUGAUAUCCUUGUAUCAUUCCCAUUCUUCAAAAAGCGAUUCUCCUUCUGUCUGUCUAAACAUGGUUAUGUGAUUUCUUAACAU